UCAUCUCCUCCAACCACUCGUGUUCAUCACGAACACUGUAGCUACCGAACCCAAACCGAGAUCGAAUCGAUCGAUUCGAUCGAUCCUUUGCACCCCCACCUCCAUAUAUAUACUCCCCACAUCCGGCUUGUCCGAUUUUUCGCCAAAAUCGCAGUCUCCCGUGCCCUAGGUUGAUUUCACGAUCUCGCUCGAGUUCCACCGCUGCUGACCUCCGCCGUCGUCGUUUCCAUCGCCUACAGGGAGUACCGAACCGAGCGCAAGGACCUCGAUCCGAAGAUCACAACCACUGCCCGAGCUCCAGCCACCCUCUGCCGUCAACCCCGUUCUCCACUGACGCCUCUCAGGAUUUCUUUGAGACCGCAGUCGAGCUUCGCGCCCCGUACGCUACCCUCCGGAGACUCGAGACCACUGGAGCAGGCGCCACCAUCGCCGCCCGAGCCGCCGCGCCGCUAUUUUGUCCAAGUCCGGCCGCCCCAGCCUCUGUUCCUCUCCGAUUGUCCGGAGUGUGAAGCGGAUCGGAAUUAAUCAUUAGAGUACUUCAGCACCGUUCAAGG